CUACGGAAGGUGCAAGCGUUGUUCGGAUUUACUGGGCGUAAAGAGAUCGUAGGUGGUUUAUUAAGUCGGAUGUGAAAUCCCGGGGCUCAACCCCGGAACUGCAUUCGAUACUGGUAGACUAGAGUUUGGGAGGGGUAAGCGGAAUUCCGUGUGUAGCAGUGAAAUGCGUAGAUAUACGGAGGAACACCUGAGGCGAAGGCGGCUUACUGGACCAAUACUGACACUGUGGAUCGAAAGCGUGGGUAGCAAACAGGAUUAGAAACCCUAGUAGUCC
rnacentral:rRNA from 1 species